rnacentral:rRNA from 1 species
UACGAAGGGGGCGAGCGUUGUCCGGAAUUAUUGGGCGUAAAGAGCUCGUAGGCGGUGUGUCGCGUCGGCCGUGAAAACCUGCAGCUUAACUGUGGGCUUGCGGUCGAUACGGGCAUCACUGGAGUUCGGCAGGGGAGACUGGAAUUCCUGGUGUAGCGGUGAAAUGCGCAGAUAUCAGGAGGAACACCGGUGGCGAAGGCGGGUCUCUGGGCCGAUACUGACGCUGAGGAGCGAAAGCGUGGGGAGCGAACAGG